AUACGUAGGGUGCAAGCGUUGUCCGGAAUUAUUGGGCGUAAAGAGCUCGUAGGCGGCUUGUCGCGUCUGCUGUGAAAUCCCGAGGCUCAACCUCGGGCUUGCAGUGGGUACGGGCAGGCUAGAGUGCGGUAGGGGAGAUUGGAAUUCCUGGUGUAGCGGUGGAAUGCGCAGAUAUCAGGAGGGACACCGAUGGCGAAGGCAGAUCUCUGGGCCGCUACUGACGCUGAGGAGCGAAAGCAUGGGGAGCGAACAGGAUGAGAUACCCUGGUAGUCCAUGCCGUAAACGUUGGGAACUAGAUGUAGGGCCUGUUCCACGGGUUCUGUGUCGUAGCUAACGCAUUAAGUUCCCCGCCUGGGGAGUACGGCCGCAAGGCUAAA
rnacentral:rRNA from 1 species